CGGACGAGUGAGUAACACGUGGAUAACCUACCUAUAAGACUGGGAUAACUUCGGGAAACCGGAGCUAAUACCGGAUAAUAUAUUGAACCGCAUGGUUCAAUAGUGAAAGACGGUUUUGCUGUCACUUAUAGAUGGAUCCGCGCCGCAUUAGCUAGUUGGUAAGGUAACGGCUUACCAAGGCAACGAUGCGUAGCCGACCUGAGAGGGUGAUCGGCCACACUGGAACUGAGACACGGUCCAG
rnacentral:rRNA from 1 species